GCCUCAGUGGUGUGGUGGUAGAGCACGCGCCCCCGGAUAGGAUGAAACGCGGGUUCGAUUCCCGCAUGAGGCC